AAGAAAAAAAUGACUACCAUUUCCUCAAAUAUCUGCAAAAAUAUUUGGCAGAUAUUUAGAGUUGUUUACAUUAGAUUAAGCAGAUUAAUGUUGGUUUCAAAUUUUGGCACGAGGCCAGCAAUUUCGGGAGAUGGAGUAAGUCAAUUAUAUCGAUCCAGUGCUCAACUGGUACUUAUUUUAUCGACCCUAAAAGGAUGAAAGGCAAAGUCAACCUCGGUAGAAUUUGUACUCAGAAUGUAAAGAGAAGGGAAAUACCGCCUAAGCAUUUCGCCCGGCCUACUAACAACUCUUGCCGCAUUAAAGCAGAUAAAUAUUGAUUUUUAAUUUUUGACAUCAGGCCGGCAGUUUUAUGGAUAAGUUGACUACGUCGACUCGAGUACACAGCUGGUACUUAUUUUACCGACCUCAAACCGAUGAAAAGUAAAGUCUACAUCGGCGGAAUUUAAAUUCAGAACAUGCGAACGAUCCUGCCAGCUCGCAGCCUUAAAGCAGAUUAAUAUCGAUCUACCACAUACUUCUUUACUCAUUUGGUUUAUGAUGAAGAAGUUACUGCAAUUACCCCAGAUAUUCUUGUUCACUUCACUCAGAAUUUUUCAAAAUGGAAUACUUUUCUCAUUAACAAACCGUUUUACUAAUUUUCAUUUUUGUCUAGAAAAAGAGUUAAUCUAAGGGAAACUAUCACAGUGGAAUACAAGGAUUUUAAUAGAGUUUUGCACACCAUAUAACUCUACAUUAAAUCAUGGAUCACGAUAAGAAACAAUUCGUAUUUCCUGUACAUUCAUAGGACCCACUAUGUCUUCAUAGAAGAUUGAUGAUCUUAUACUAUACAAUAACUGAUCGGUGUCUUUAAAAUCUAUCCUGAAACUCUUACAGAGCUUCUAACGUUGGAGAUGUACUACGGUGCCAGAUGUUCACUACUAGUGAACUAAGUUUUCAUAAUGAGUGGUAAAUUCGUGCUGUUUUACGACGCCUGUGGGAAAAAUGGGCAGCGGCAUAAGAAAUCAAUGAUAUGGAAGACUCAGGAACAUUCAACGAAUAUGUAACACAAAACUUGCACAGGUAUUUCAAGGAAAUAUGACAUCAAACUGGAAGACAAACCAAAAGUCAGGGAGAUUUUCUGUUAUGGACGAUAAAGCCCCGCUUGAAAUGGUUGAACAACAGCCAAGCACUCGUAUAUCGUUGGCCGAACUUGGUCUUUUACCAAACACCGUCAACUGACACUGCAAUAAGCUCGGCCCUAAGAGAAGACGCUGUCGAGAGGUUCACUGACCAAUGACCAAGCUUAUCAACACAUGAGCAUUUGCAAACAACCGCUAGUAAAUAUACUCGUGAUGUCCGUUUUUAACGUGGGAUUGCAAUUGGCGAUGAAAAGAGAGGCUUCAUUUUGUCCAAGCUUCUGAACUUGUCAAAUAAGGACGGUUUGAAUGGUAUAAGCGUGUAAAUUGAGUUUCUGGCACAACGAUGGCAAGAAGUAAAAAAUAUGAUGGGAUAUAUAUUUCGAUAAAC